ACAUGCAAGUCGAACGAGACCUUCGGGUCUAGUGGCGCACGGGUGCGUAACGCGUGGGAAUCUGCCCUUGGGUUCGGAAUAACAGUGAGAAAUUGCUGCUAAUACCGGAUGAUGUCUUCGGACCAAAGAUUUAUCGCCCAGGGAUGAGCCCGCGUAGGAUUAGCUAGUUGGUGGGGUAAUGGCCUACCAAGGCGACGAUCCUUAGCUGGUCUGAGAGGAUGAUCAGCCACACUGGGACUGAGACACGGCCCAGACUCCUACGGGAGGCAGCAGUGGGGAAUAUUGGACAAUGGGCGCAAGCCUGAUCCAGCAAUGCCGCGUGAGUGAUGAAGGCCUUAGGGUUGUAAAGCUCUUUUACCAGGGAUGAUAAUGACAGUACCUGGAGAAUAA
rnacentral:rRNA from 1 species